UACGUAGGGGGCUAGCGUUGUCCGGAUUCAUUGGGCGUAAAGCGCGCGUAGGCGGCUCGGAAAGUCGGGCGUGAAAUGCCGGGGCUCAACCCCGGGACUGCGUCCGAUACUUCCGAGCUGGAGGUAGGUAGGGGAGAUCGGAAUUCCUGGUGUAGCGGUGAAAUGCGCAGAUAUCAGGAAGAACACCUAUGGCGAAGGCAGCACUCUGGGACGGUACUGACGCUGAGACGCGAAAGCGUGGGGAGCGAACAGG
rnacentral:rRNA from 1 species